GUCUCCAGUAGCUCAGGUAGAGCGUCCGACCGGUGUGCGGAAGGUCAUAGGUUCGACUCCUAUUGGGAACU